CCUACGGGAGGCAGCAGUGGGGAAUAUUGCACAAUGGGGGAAACCCUGAUGCAGCGACGCCGCGUGAGUGAAGAAGUCUUUCGGUAUGUAAAGCUCUAUCAGCAGGGAAGAAAAUGACGGUACCUGAUUAAGAAGCCCUGGCUAAUUACGUGCCAGCAGCCGCGGUAAUACGUAGGGGGCAAGCGUUAUCCGGAUGUACUGGGUGUAAAGGGAGCGUAGACGGCAGCGCAAGUCUGAAGUGAAAUGCCGGGGCUUAACCCCGGAACUGCAUUUGAUACUGUGCGGUUAGAGUGCAGUAGAGGUAGGUGGAAUUCCUGGUGUAGCGGUGAAAUGCGUAGAUAUUAGGAGGAACACCAGUGGCGAAGGCGGCUGACUGGACGGUGACUGACGUUGAGGCUCGAAAGCGUGGGGAGCAAACAGGAUUAGAUACCCUGGUAGUC
rnacentral:rRNA from 1 species